rnacentral:rRNA from 1 species
UACGUAGGGGCUAGCGUUGUCCGGAAUCAUUGGGUCGUAAGCGCACGUAGGCGGCUCAGCAAGUCGGGUGUGAAGGCCCUCGGCCUUAACCGAGGAAGUGCAUUCGAAACUACUGAGCUUGAUAACUGGAGAGGAUCGCGGAAUUCCGGUGUAGAGGUGAAAUUCGUAGAUAUCGGAGGAACACCAGUGGCGAAGGCGGCGAUCUGGACAGAUAUUGACGCUGAGGUGCGAAAGCGUGGGGAG